UACGAAGGGGGCUAGCGUUGCUCGGAAUCACUGGGCGUAAAGGGUGCGUAGGCGGGUCUUUUAAGUCAGGGGUGAAAUCCUGGAGCUCAACUCCAGAACUGCCUUUGAUACUGAGGAUCUUGAGUUCGGGAGAGGUGAGUGGAACUGCGAGUGUAGAGGUGAAAUUCGUAGAUAUUCGCAAGAACACCAGUGGCGAAGGCGGCUCACUGGCCCGGAACUGACGCUGAGGUGCGAAAGCGUGGGGAGCGAACGAGG
rnacentral:rRNA from 1 species